UGGUUGCGGUGGCUGCGGGGCUGAUGAUUUCAGGAAACUACUAAAGUUCCUGUGGAAGGAAAGUAGAAUUUCGUAAGAACAUAAUGGAUGGAGAGGAGAAAACCUAUGGUGGCUGUGAAGGCCCUGAUGCCAUGUAUGUCAAAUUGAUGUCUUCUGAUGGUCGUGAAUUUGUUGUAAAAAGAGAACAUGCACUAACAUCAGGAACGAUAAAAGCAGUGUUGAGUGGUCCAGGUCAGUUUGCUGAGAACAAAACCAAUGAGGUCAAUUUUAGAGAGAUCUCUUCACAUGUGCUAUCAAAAGUGUGCAUGUAUUUUACCUACAAGGUUCGCUACACUAACAGCUCCACCAAGAUUCCUGAAUUCCCAAUUGCGCCUGAAAUUGCACUGCAACUGCUGAUGGCUGCGAACUUCCUAGAUUGCUAAAUAAAAUAAAUUAUAAUAAACUG